AGAGUUUGAUCCUGGCUCAGGAUGAACGCUAGCGGCAGGCCUAACACAUGCAAGUCGAACGGUAACAUGAAGUGCUUGCACUUUGAUGACGAGUGGCGCACGGGUGCGUAACGCGUAUACAAUCUACCUUUUACAGGGGGAUAGCCCAGAGAAAUUUGGAUUAAUACCUCAUAGUAUUGAGAAUUGGCAUCGAUUUUCACUUAAAGUUUCGGUGGUAAAAGAUGAGUAUGCGUUCUAUUAGCUGGUAGGUAGGGUAACGGCUUACCUAGGCAACGAUAGAUAGGGGCCCUGAGAGGGGGAUCCCCCACACUGGUACUGAGACACGGACCAGACUCCUACGGGAGGCAGCAGUGAGGAAUAUUGGACAAUGGGCGCAAGCCUGAUCCAGCCAUGCCGCGUGCAGGAAGACUGCCCUAUGGGUUGUAAACUGCUUUUAUACAGGAAGAAACAGCUCUACGCGUAGAGCCUUGACGGUACUGUAAGAAUAAGGAUCGGCUAACUCCGU
rnacentral:rRNA from 1 species